rnacentral:tRNA from 1 species
GGUGGAAUGGCCGAGUCGUUAAGGCGUAUGAUUUAGGACUUUUGUUCAAAAUCUCAUAUGGGAAACCGCGUGGGUUCAAAUCCCACUUCCAUCA